CGUAUAGAGAGGUUAACGUCUUCCCACAUUUUUCUAUAUAUCGCAACUUGUCUAGAUUCGCUAUAUAAGUACUUACAUAAAGCCAUAAACUGUAUAUUAUCAUCAACGGGCAUAGCAUACACCGUGAAAUUGAUAAUGAACAGUUCUUCAGCGACGGCGACACAAUCAUCUUUACAGAGAUCCAUCAGAGCUUCGCAUACUUUCAAGAGGUUUUCUUGAUACUUUGGCUGUAAAAAGGAAUAUUAAGCUAUUGCAUACCCAACUCUAUUGUAAGCAAAUGCAUUUUUAUUGUAAACUUACCUUCCUAACCCUACACCGAUCAGGAUCAGCCAAUUCCUUGCACAACUCGUGCAAAACCUUAACUUUAACCAGAUCCCUUAAAGAUCCUUUAAGUAUAUUGGUGAUUACGAGUAGAGCACUCCAGGAGUCAACUUCUGCUUCCACUAGAGGCCACCAAGUAUCAGCUGUGUUUUUAGGUCACUAAAU